GAUGAACGCUGGGCGGCGUGCCUAACACAUGCAAGUCGAGCGGUACAGUUUGAAGCUUCGGUGGAGAGGCUGUAUAAGCGGCGGAACGGGUGAGUAAAGCGUAGGAACGUGCCCCUCGGAGUUGGAUAGCCAUGGGAAACUGUGGGUAAACCGACAUAGACUCGGGAGAGUAAAGGCCGAAAGGCGCCGAGGGAGCGGUCUGCGUCCCAUCAGGUAGUUGUAGGGUAAAGGCCUACCAAGCCGACGACGGGUAACCGGUCUCGAGAGGAUGGCCGGUCACAAGGGCACUGAGAGACGGGCCCUACUCCUACGGGAGGCAGCAGUGGGGAUUUUGGACAAUGGGCGAAAGCCUGAUCCAGCGACGCCGCGUGGAGGACGAAGCCCUUCGGGAUGUAAACUUCUGAACUAGCCGAAUAAAAGGCCUGUGGACACACAGGAGAAGAAAGUAGGCUAGGAAAAGUCCCGGCUAACUACGUG
rnacentral:rRNA from 1 species